UCUGAGCCGCAUUCACCCUGUGCAGCCAAGUGGAAGGAAACUUGUUCUUCAUGAGAAAACUCAAGUGCCAAAUUCAGCUUGUACAGGUCAGGGAUGAUUGCAGUGUGUGCAUUAACCUGGCACACUGGCGUGUCUAAUUUGCUGCACUGGACAAAACAAAGGCUCUCAUUGAUAUCUGAAUCUCAAGUCAGCCGUGUAGUCGGUGGAGGGUCCUGCUCUCCUCAGGCCAGGCCGGAUGAUUUAUUGCAUUGCUGGAGGGACUCCACGCUAUCUGAUUGGCAAGACUGGGGUCCAUUAAGAGCAAGGAACCGAAAAUCACACCACCUAUAGAUGGAGCCCAAGGGCAGCACCGUUGGGUUCAACCCCGGCAGACAACAUCAAUGUUGGACAAUGUCUCCCACCCCAAUGCAAGAAGCUGCUGCAGAGCUGGAGAGCCCCUUCAGAGACAGACUGCUGCACCUUAACUGCACGAAGGAGCUUUAUCCCUGCUGUUAAUUGUUUUUUUUCAUUCACACAAUUAUACAUGUGCAUUUUGUACACUUUCAAAUCACCCUACUCUGUUGAGAAUUUCCUUUAAUCUGAGUAUGCCAUUUCAUUAACUACAAUAUUUUCCUUCUGUUGUAAA